rnacentral:hammerhead_ribozyme from 1 species
AUCUAGCUGAAGAGUUCCAAAUAGGACGAAACGCACGUCUUGGAU